rnacentral:hammerhead_ribozyme from 1 species
AUCCAGCUGAUGAGUCCCAAAUAGGACGAGAGGUGCAUCCUGGAU